rnacentral:rRNA from 1 species
UGCCAGCCGCCGCGGUAAUACGUAGGUUGCAAGCGUUGUCCGGAAUUACUGGGUGUAAAGGGCGUGUAGGCGGAGCUGCAAGUCAGAUGUGAAAUCCCGGGGCUCAACCCCGGAACUGCAUUUGAAACUGUAGCCCUUGAGUAUCGGAGAGGCAAGCGGAAUUCCUAGUGUAGCGGUGAAAUGCGUAGAUAUUAGGAGGAACACCAGUGGCGAAGGCGGCUUGCUGGACGACAACUGACGCUGAGGCGCGAAAGCGUGGGGAGCAAACAGGAUUAGAUA